UUCUACUUUACUUUCAAUUCCAGUCAAAUGAAACCUUUAAUUUUAUAGAGGACACACGAUCACCAUAAUUAAUUUUAAUACAAAACAAGUCAUUGGUUUUUUUUUUAAAUUAUUUAAAAGGAAACAAAUUUUUUUUAAAAUCAAACCAGAAAAAACUUAGUAUGAGCAAAUCCAACUAAACCAAGACCAGCGAUUGCAGCCCAAACAAAAAGGCAAAACAGACCAUGGACUAGUACAAGAGGAAAGCGCAAAGCAUUAAGAAAACCAACAUUUCGAAAAACAAAAAGCAAUACCCAAACAACACCCAGCAACUAAAGCAAUUAAAAUCAACAACUGAAAAAAGAACUGAAGCUUAAGCAGAAUCCAAAGGCCAUCAAGGAGCAGAAACACCAAAUCAAACGGCAGCCGGGCACCAAAUCAAGUCACUGGAGUUGAGCAGUAGUCCAGUGAUGUUAUUUAGUAGCAAGACACACAAAAGUCACACAAAUGCAGCACCUCUACAAGGCACAUGCUAGCUAUAUGUAUUUGCUAGCCCUUGAAGAAAUCUUGGUCACGUUCGAACUAGUCGGAAGAAUCCAUUCUCGCCUACUAUCGAGGAAAGAUGCAAACCAAGAAGCUGAGUUCUUGGCGUGUCUUUUCAUGUUAUCUUUGUAGUCCACGUAGUACAAACCAAAUCUGGAAGUAUAACCAAUAUUCCAUUCGUAGUUAUCCAUAAAUGACCAAGCAAAGUAACCUUUGACAUUAACAUUGUACUCCUUGAUGGAUCCAAGUACAUUCCAAAGAUGGGUUUUAUAAUAUUGAAUCCUGUGGUCAUCUAGAGUCCCCUCCUGCCAGCUUAGCGUUUCAUUGUUGUACUCGUCAACCCCUAAUAGUAUAGAAAAAGAAAUUAGAUGUAAAUAUAUCUAUAAUUAAGUACUUUCCAUCUCGACAUGAGAAAGGCAUAAAUGACUUACCAUUCUCAGUGAUGUAAAUUACUGGAUUGUUGUAUGUAUCUUUAGUAUAGUUUAAAAGAUGUCGAAUACCUUUCGGAUAAAUAUAAAACCAAGGAGAGUAUGCCUGCAUGAUUUAUCUCUAUGUCAUUGAUACAAUCCACAAAUGUAUAAUUCUCUCCAUUAUAUUUUUAUCAAUUCAUUUUCUUGGGCACUAACCUGUGGACCAAUGAGUUUACCAUCUUCACCGUAAGCUGUAAUAAAAAGAAAAUUAGCAUGUUGUUAUGGGCUAAAGAAAAUCCUUAUUAACAAGCAUAUACAACAUGUGGUGAUAAGCUAUAUUGAAGUUAAUUUGGAUUUUUUUUUUAUACAUACCCAUUUUUUUUCCUUCUCGCUAUCAAUGUGUCAUAUUUGCUUAUUGAAAAAAAGUAUCAUAUUUUUACAUAAGUAAACUUACGAGUUUCAGUAACACGAUGAUCAGUUGUAUAUCUAAUAUAAUAUGGAUUAACAUUGGCAUUUUCUUUUGCAUAAUAUGAAGUGUAGUAUUGCAACCCAACAAAAUCAUAUGAUCCUUUAAGCAACUGAGAUUCUCUGCAAGUAAAUUUUUGCAAUUUAUUUCCAACUAAAGUUUGCACACUUCUUGGGUAGUGGCCAUAGGUCAUAGGAUGCAUAAACAAUCCAAACAUAAAAUCAAGGGCUGUUUUAGCUGCUUCUCUAUCAGCUAUACUAUUGGAGAAAGGUUCAAACCAAAAAGUAAAGAGUGUUAUCCCAAUUUCGCCCUUUUGUUCUGCCUGGUAUUUUUCUCUGUAUACUUGGACAGCUGCCGCAUGAGAAAGGAGCAAAUGAUGAGCAACUAUGUAAGGUUCUGUGGCUGAGUUUCCCCCAGAGCAUUGAAUAUUCACCCAAGAUGAGCAUCGGCCAGGAGCAUGGAUGCCCAAGUCAUAGCCGAACCCGGUAACAGCCCAUGGUUCAUUUAAUGUCAUCCAAUGCUUCACUCGAUCACCAAAUUUUUGGAAGCAUAGAUCCGCAAAGUCACGAAAAUCAUCUCUAUAUUUUAUAUGAUUGUUUAAUAAAAUAUUUUAUUAGUUGUAAUAAGCUAGAGAUGAGAAUAUUAUAAUUCAAAGAAAUAGAUAGAUAUCCAGGCUUCAACCUUUACUAUUUUAGAAAUGUAGCAUAAGGUUGCAUACUUACACAAUACAACGGCUUAAAAAGCCAUCAUACUUGUCUUCAAGGGCUUGAGGAGUAUCCCAAUGAUAAAUUGUUACGAAAGGCUCCAAACCUAAUUUUGCAAAUACAAUAAAUUAGAAGUGUGUGUGUUCUAAUACAUUUGAUAGGGCAUAAUGCAAUAUAAUUUAAUCAAAUAUUCUGUUGAAUUCAAUAAAAUAUUUGACAAUGUAAGGUGGUUAGCAGCAUCACUAGUUGUUCAAAUUUUCCAACGAACAUUUGGCAUUUUUCAAUUUUAACAGGAAAAAAGAAACCUUUAGUAGGGAGAUUGACCUUUAUUAUUAUAAUGUUAUCAUUAUAUAUUUUUGUUCACAUUUUCUAAAUAUUGAAGGCGGACAAUUUCUAUUCGAAUCCUUUAAGGGAAAGAGACAAUUAUCACCCUUUGAUUUAGUUUCAUUGAUAAGCUUGUUGUAAAAUUCUAUCCCUUCCUCAUUCACUCCAUCUCGUACUCUUCCACUAGGUAUUAUUCUAGACCAUGAAAUGGAGAAUCUGAAAGCAUUUAAACCUAUAUCUUUCAUUAAUUGAAUAUCUUCGGCAUAGCGAUUAUAGAAAUCAACUGCAA
rnacentral:misc_RNA from 1 species